UUGCAUCCAAUCAAAGUACGGCCACCGUAGGAAAAUAUUUUUCAUUUUGUAGAGUAAUCUUUUGACAUUGGAUGUUGUCAACUCUGUAAAGCCACUAGGUUCAUAAAUUUCGAGAGCAGAAGAUGGAUCUCUUUUAGACUUCCCGGAAAUUGAAGCGCCACUAGGUUCAUAAAUUUUGAGAGCAGAAGAUGGAUCUCUUUGAGACUUCUUGGAAAUUGAAGAGCCACUAGGUUCAUUAAUUUCGAGAGCAGAAGAUGGAUCUCUUUGAGACUUCCCGGAAAUUGAAGAGCCACUAGGUUCAUCCAUUUUGAGACCAAAAGAUGGAUCUCUUUGAGACUUCUCGGAAAAUGAAGAGCCACUAGGUUCAUAAAUUUCGAGAGCAGAAGACGGAUCUCUUUGAGACUUCGCGGAAAUUGAAGAGCCACUAGGUUCAUCAAUUUCGAGAGCAGAAGAUGGAUCUCUCUGAGACUUCCCAGAAAUUGAAGAGCCACUAGGUUCAUCAAUUUCAAGAGCAGAAGAUGAAUCUCUUUGAAACUUCCUGGAAAUUGAAGAGCCACUAGGUUCAUAAAUUUCGAGAGCAGAAGAUGAAUCUCUUUGAGACUUCCCGGAAAUUGAAGAGCCACUAGGUUCAUAAAUUUCGAAAGCAGAAUAUGGAUCUCUUGUAACCACUUUCGCCACACUGAACAAAACGCAAGUAGUUCAAAGAUCAGUUCUUAAAAUAAAUAAAGCCUAUUUUUGUUAUAUAUUAAUGGAAUGCAAGGACAAUAAUUUAUAUUUCGGCGAUCCAUCCUAAGGGGACUUCAAUGUCUUUAAAACCUUCGGAGGAGAGUU
rnacentral:lncRNA from 1 species